UACGGGGGGGCAAGCGUUGUUCGGAAUCACUGGGCUUAAAGCGUGUGUAGGUGGAUGCCUAAGUACCUUGUGAAAUCCCACAGCUUAACUGUGGAAUUGCUUGGUAUACUGGGUGUCUUGAGCCACUCAGGGGCUACCGGAACAAGCGGUGGAGCGGUGAAAUGCGUAGAUAUCUGGAGGAACACCGGUGGCGAAGGCGGCAUCCUGGACCGGUAUUGACGCUGAGGCGCGAAAGCCAGGGGAGCAAACGGG
rnacentral:rRNA from 1 species